GAUGAACGCUGGCGGCGUGCCUAAUACAUGCAAGUCGAGCGAACAGACGAGGAGCUUGCUCCUCUGACGUUAGCGGCGGACGGGUGAGUAACACGUGGAUAACCUACCUAUAAGACUGGGAUAACUUCGGGAAACCGGAGCUAAUACUGGAUAAUAUAUUGAACCGCAUGGUUCAAUAGUGAAAGACGGUUUUGCUGUCACUUAUAGAUGGAUCCGCGCCGCAUUAGCUAGUUGGUAAGGUAACGGCUUACCAAGGCAACGAUGCGUAGCCGACCUGAGAGGGUGAUCGGCCACACUGGAGCUGAGACACGGUCCAGACUCCUACGGGAGGCAGCAGUAGGGAAUCUUCCGCAAUGGGCGAAAGCUUGACGGAGCAACGCCGCGUGAGUGAUGAAGGUCUUCGGAUCGUAAAACUCUGUUAUUAGGGAAGAACAAAUGUGUAAGUAACUAUGCACGUCUUGACGGUACCUAAUCAGAAAGCCACGGCUAACUACGUG
rnacentral:rRNA from 1 species